rnacentral:rRNA from 1 species
GACGAACGCUGGCGGCGUGCUUAACACAUGCCAGUCGAACGGAAAGGCCCUGCUUUUGUGGGGUGCUCGAGUGGCGAACGGGUGAGUAACACGUGAGUAACCUGCCCUUGACUUUGGGAUAACUUCAGGAAACUGGGGCUAAUACCGGAUAGGAGCUCCUGCUGCAUGGUGGGGGUUGGAAAGUUUCGGCGGUUGGGGAUGGACUCGCGGCUUAUCAGCUUGUUGGUGGGGUAGUGGCUUACCAAGGCUUUGACGGGUAGCCGGCCUGAGAGGGGGACCGGCCACAUUGGGACUGAGAUACGGCCCAGACGCCUACGGGAGGCAGCAGUGGGGAAUAUUGCACAGUGGGCGGAAGCCUGAUGCAGCAGCGCCGCGUGCGGGAUGACGGCCUUCGGGUUGUAAACCGCUUUCGCCUGUGACGAAGCGUGAGUGACGGUAAUGGGUAAAGAAGCACCGGCUAACUACGUG